CUGAUCAGCCAUGCCGCGUGCAGGAAGACUGCCCUAUGGGUUGUAAACUGCUUUUAUACAGGAAGAAACCUCCCGACGUGUCGGGCCUUGACGGUACUGUAAGAAUAAGGAUCGGCUAACUCCGUGCCAGCAGCCGCGGUAAUACGGAGGAUCCAAGCGUUAUCCGGAAUCAUUGGGUUUAAAGGGUCCGUAGGUGGAUAAUUAAGUCAGGGGUGAAAGUCUGCAGCUCAACUGUAGAAUUGCCUUUGAUACUGGUUAUCUUGAGUUAUUAUGAAGUAGUUAGAAUAUGUAGUGUAGCGGUGAAAUGCAUAGAUAUUACAUAGAAUACCAAUUGCGAAGGCAGAUUACUAAUAAUAUACUGACACUGAUGGACGAAAGCGUGGGGAGCGAACAGGAUUAGAUACCCUGGUAG
rnacentral:rRNA from 1 species